GCUGGUGUGGCUCAACGGUAGAGCAGCUGACUUGUAAUCAGCAGGUUGUAGGUUCGACUCCUAUCACCAGCUCCA
rnacentral:tRNA from 2 species